AAAGGGUGCGUAGGUGGUCAUUUAAGUCUGAUUUGAAAGCAAGCGGCUUAACCGUUUGAUGUGGUUGGAAACUGAAUGACUUGAAUGGGUUGGCGGUAGCCGGAAUGGGUCAUGUAGCGGUGAAAUGCAUAGAUAUGACCCGGAACACCGAUUGCGAAGGCAGGCUACUACGACUUGAUUGACACUGAGGCACGAGAGCAUGGGUAGCGAACAGGAUUAGAUACCCCUGU
rnacentral:rRNA from 1 species